AACGUAGGAGACAAACGUUAUCCGGAGUUACUGGGCGUAAAGGGUUCGUAGGUGGCUUGCUAAGUCAGACGUGAAAUCCCUCAGCUUAACUGGGGAACUGCGUCUGAUACUGGCGAGCUUGAGUGCAGGAGAGGAACGCGGAAUUCCAGGUGUAGCGGUGAAAUGCGUAGAUAUCUGGAGGAACACCGGUGGCGAAGGCGGCGUUCUGGACUGCAACUGACACUGAUGAACGAAAGCCAGGGGAGCAAACGGG
rnacentral:rRNA from 1 species